UACGAGUCACAAUAAUACUUGAGUUUUCAUUCACACCACAAUCAAAGUGGCAUAUAAAUACACAGUUAUUCGUCCAAAUUCAAUAUGCACGGCUUAGUUCUUUUUGGCGUAGUUUGGCUGAUAUAUUAUGGCAUAUAUAAAUACAUUAUGACACAGAAUAUCAUGGUACCCAGAAGCAACGCUGCGGCUCAAGGUUUACAAAGAAACGUUUUUGAUGUCUAAAGCGAUUGUUGGUGACACCUUGGCAAGGCCUUUGGAAUUGUAUGGACUUCUUAUAGACUGAAAAUGUAGGCGAUUUUGUAAAUGCAUCAGAUUAUUGAAGUACUACUUGGACUUUUGCCUACUGUUGUGGUUGUGAUUUUACUCUUGGAACAGGAACAGAUUCCUGAUGUUCAUAGAGGGAUUUCAUAGAGGCUUGCGAAAUUCCACAUGUGACAAUUCAGCAUUCAAUAGAUGGAUGGCUGGAAUGACUGGGAUGGUUGGGAUGGCAUGGAGCUGGAGCUGGAGCUGGAGCUGGCUAAAAGCCUGUCAAUCGGCGAGAGGAAGCGCUGGGGACAAAUGCCCUAAGUAGAGACCCAAAUCUCUGGAAAGCAAUUAGCAAGGCAAAACCCAAAAGAAAGAUCACCGCAAGACCGCUGUUCGGGGCACCAAUUGCAAUUGCCCAGACGACGGACAGCAUAGCGACACAGAACCCAGAGGAAGACGGACAGAAGCGGGAUUUAUCAGAGACAGAGACUGAGUCUGAGUCUGAGUCUGAGUCCGAGAUGGAGCUGGAGCUGGGGUUUGAGUUGGAGAUGAAGAUGCAGAGACGCAGACGGAGAAAAGCAAUUCUGCGGCUGACGGUUUUCGCAGAAAAUUACAACUUGCGGGUAAACAAAGUCAACUGCCGGCAAUGGCCCAGACAUGGGGCAAGGGGCCGGGGCCGGGGCCGAAGCUAGGUCUGAGUGGAAUCCAGCAGAAAACGGUGGGGCGGUGGCGGUGGCGGUGGCUGUUCGGGCUGGAGGUUGAGAGCUCUAGAAGAAUUGGCGUUGAAGCCACACGCCAAAGUAAGCCCACAAGCCGUCUUUUGCUGCUGUUGCUGCUGAUGCUUCAACUCCCACUCCGCCUCCCAUGGCUGGUGCCGCCGGGCUCCAUGUGGAGUGGAUGUGGGUGCGCAAUUAUGCCGCCAGAGCAACCAAGUAACCAUAAAUUUUCUUAUCAGCGCCCAGCAAAAGUCCAGGAGCGGAUCUCAUCAGCAGAGGCCGAUCUCAAGGGCCCCAAAGUAGAAUCUCAUCAGUCGGUUGGCUGCUAAGAGAAGAGAGAGAAAGGGAGCGCAAGGCCAGACUCGGCAGCCAUGCUGUGAUACUGAAUUCCUAAAUAUAUAUAUGAUUUCUAAGUAUAUAGGAAAUCCUUGAAUUCUUCAGUAUCAUCAAUGAAAUAUCACUACUCUUAAAGAAUGUAAAGCUAGAUUAAGUUGCCACGAAAGGUAUCAGUAAACUUUUUUACAAUAAA
rnacentral:sRNA from 1 species